CCCAAGUGUGUGGCUGACUCAGUAAUUGCCCAGCAUCAUCUUUAUUGAAAUUAUCCAGCAAUCUAGAAAUUACAAGUGAAAUAACCCAUGAAGUCAUCCUGACCCAGCUAUUCUGAGCCAAGGUAAAAAAGCUGAGACUCAGAGGUUUCAACUACACAGUGAGGAGACAGCAGCAUCGAGUUUGUCUGACUCGGAAGGCCUUUCCACCACACAGAUGGUGUCAAUGGAUCCGCUUGAAUCAUGCAUUUUCUUCUAAGCUUUUUCUAGCCACAAAAUGCAUGUAAGCAGAGGAAAUGGACUUCCUGUCCUUGAAAAGCUUAUCGUAUUAGUGGAAGACAGGAUUCACACAAAUGGGGCAGUUUGAAAAUGCUCCAUAGGUAUGUUGAAUCCGGUGCUAAACUCAGCACUACAAACCCUACAUGUUGGCAGAGCUUCGAGAAAGGGAAGAAUAUGAGAAAGAAGUCAUCGAGCAAUGGGCUUUUGGUGGGGAGGAGUGCUCUGAAGAGAGAGGUAAGGGAUGGUGUUGGAGAGGAGGUCAAGGGAGGAAGAGAAGGUAGACAGAGAGAAGGCCAGCCGGUGGAAGAGAAAACCAAUCUAACCCAAGGAGAGUGGUCUAGGAAGUAGUCGAUAAUAGUGAUAGCGUGGUAGCGGAUCGUGAGGCGGUUGAGGAGGAAUGAGGAAGUCUUGAGAGCUAUGAAGAGGAAUCUAUACUCUGUGGAAACAAAGGACCUCAUCAUGGUAGUUGUGGAGGGCACCGACAAAUGAAAGAAGAGUGUUGGGAAGGGGGAGACAUCAGGAAGAAAGGAAAGGACUCAAGAGAAGAGAGCUGUUAAAACAAGCUUGUGCAAAAUACCAAGGCUGAGGUGAGAGAGAGAGCGAGCUGGAACCACCCUUCCAAAGAAGGACUGGCCAGACAUGGAACAUGAGAAGCACCCGCCCAGGCCUUACCAGCUUCAGGGAGAAGGGGGAGCUUACUAGCCUCCUCCUCUUGUGGGAUGUUGACCUGAACACCAUGCACAUCUGGGCUGAGACAGAGCCUGGCACCAAAGACCAGAGGAGAUUGGAAUCUAGUCGGUUGGAUGGCAUAAACAGCCCGGCCAAGAAACUCAGCUCAGUUUUGAAAGCAUCUGAAUCAUUGGACUCAAGGAACGUGACCAGUGCUCUAAAUCUUCUGUCAGAAUUAGCCAUCUGUACUCCCCCUUGCUCCUUUUCCAAACAGAUGCUGCCAUUUUCCUUUCUUCCUUAUUUCCGACUGAAGUAUAAUGUACAGUGUUACAUUAGUUUCAGACGUACAGCAUAGUGAUUGACAAGUCCAUACGCUAUGCUGUGCUCACGACAAGAACAGCUACCGCCUAUCACCCUACAACACUAUUACAAUACCAUUGACCGUAUUCCUAUGCUCUACCUUUCACCCCUGUGACUUACUAUUUGCCUUUCUUAUUUUGCGUGCAGGAUGGAUGGUGGAACAGCUUCCUGUCUCCACAGGAAGGGAAUAAAGAGCUCCUAAGCAGACUGCGAAC